rnacentral:rRNA from 1 species
GCCUACCAAGCCUGCGAUCUCUAGCUGGUCUGAGAGGAUGACCAGCCACACUGGAACUGAGACACGGUCCAGACUCCUACGGGAGGCAGCAGUGGGGAAUAUUGCGCAAUGGGGGGAACCCUGACGCAGCCAUGCCGCGUGAAUGAAGAAGGCCUUAGGGUUGUAAAGUUCUUUCGGUAUUGAGGAAGGUUGAUGUGUUAAUAGCACAUCAAAUUGACGUUAAAUACAGAAGAAGCACCGGCUAACUCCGUGCCAGCAGCCGCGGUAAUACGGAGGGUGCGAGCGUUAAUCGGAAUAACUGGGCGUAAAGGGCACGCAGGCGGUUAUUUAAGUGAGGUGUGAAAGCCCCGGGCUUAACCUGGGAAUUGCAUUUCAGACUGGGUAACUAGAGUACUUUAGGGAGGGGUAGAAUUCCACGUGUAGCGGUGAAAUGCGUAGAGAUGUGGAGGAAUACCGAAGGCGAAGGCAGCCCCUUGGGAAUGUACUGACGCUCAUGUGCGAAAGCGUGGGGAGCAAACAGGAUUAGAUACCCUGGUAGUCCACGCUGUAAACGCUGUCGAUUUGGGGGUUGGGGUUUAACUCUGGCGCCCGUAGCUAACGUGAUAAAUCGACCGCCUGGGGAGUACGGCCGCAAGGUUAAAACUCAAAUGAAUUGACGGGGGCCCGCACAAGCGGUGGAGCAUGUGGUUUAAUUCGAUGCAACGCGAAGAACCUUACCUACUCUUGACAUCCUAAGAAGAGCUCAGAGAUGAGCUUGUGCCUUCGGGAACUUAGAGACAGGUGCUGCAUGGCUGUCGUCAGCUCGUGUUGUGAAAUGUUGGGUUAAGUCCCGCAACGAGCGCAACCCUUAUCCUUUGUUGCCAGCGA